GACGAACCGGACAGACGUUAUUCGGAAUUACUGGGCUUAAAGGGCUCGUAGGCGGUUUGUCGCGUCGGGGAGUGAAAACUCAGGGCUUAACCCUGAGCCUGCUUCCGAUACGGGCAGACUAGAGGUAUGCAGGGGAGAACGGAAUUCCUGGUGUAGCGGUGGAAUGCGCAGAUAUCAGGAGGAACACCGGUGGCGAAGGCGGGUCUCUGGGCAGUAACUGACGCUGAGGAGCGAAAGCGUGGGGAGCGAACAGG
rnacentral:rRNA from 1 species